rnacentral:rRNA from 1 species
CCCUUAGAUGUUCUGGGCCGCACGCGCGCUACAAUGGUCUUCGCAAACGGAUGCAUUCUCGAAGGAGAAUGCCAAUCUUGGCAUCUAUGCCUUGGUCGGGACAGUUGCUUGCAAUUUUUCGACUCGAACCAGGAAUUCCUUGUAAUCGUGAUUCAUCACAUCACGAUGAAUACGUCCCUGCCCUUUGUACACACCGCCCGUCGCUCCUACCGAUCGAAGAGUUAGGUGAAUUGUUUUGAUCGAUAAGAUUUGACUAUGGUCAACUCUCGUUGUGAAAUUCUGUGAAUCUGACUGUUUAGAGGAAGGAAAAGUCGUAACA